rnacentral:rRNA from 1 species
UUGGAGGGCAAGUCUGGUGCCAGCAGCCGCGGUAAUUCCAGCUCCAAUAGCGUAUAUUAAAGUUGUUGCAGUUAAAAAGCUCGUAGUUGAAUUUCGGGAUCAAUUUAUCGGUCGUGCCUACGGUAUGAACUGGUACAAUUGGUUUCUCCCUUCUGACGAAGCAUGAUGUCAUUAAUUUGGUGUCGUGGGGAAUCAGGACUGUUACUUUGAAAAAAUUAGAGUGUUUAAAGCAAGCAUUAGCUUGAAUACAUUAGCAUGGAAUAAUGAAAUAGGACGUUUGAUCCUAUUUCGUUGGUUUCUAGGAUCGACGUAAUGAUUAAUAGGGAUAGUUGGGGGCAUUAGUAUUCAAUUGUCAGAGGUGAAAUUCUUGGAUUUAUUGAAGACUAACUACUGCGAAAGCAUUUGCCAAGGAUGUUUUCAUUAAUCAAGAACGAAAGUUAGGGGAUCGAAGACGAUCAGAUACCGUCGUAGUCUUAACCAUAAACUAUGCCGACUAGGGAUCGGAUGAUGUUAAUUUUAUAAUGACUCAUUCGGCGCCUUACGGGAAAC